UACGUAGGUGGCAAGCGUUGUCCGGAUUUACUGGGUGUAAAGGGCGUGCAGCCGGGCUGACAAGUCAGAUGUGAAAUCCCGCGGCUCAACCGCGGAACCGCAUUUGAAACUGUCAGUCUUGAGUACCGGAGAGGUCAUCGGAAUUCCUUGUGUAGCGGUGAAAUGCGUAGAUAUAAGGAAGAACACCAGUGGCGAAGGCGGAUGACUGGACGGCAACUGACGGUGAGGCGCGAAAGCGUGGGGAGCAAACAGG
rnacentral:rRNA from 1 species